GUCUGAUCAGCCAUGCCGCGUGCAGGAUGACGGUCCUAUGGAUUGUAAACUGCUUUUGCACAGGAAAAAACACUCCGACGUGUCCGACCUUGACGGUACUGUGAGAAUAAGGAUCGGCUAACUCCGUGCCAGCAGCCGCGGUAAUACGGAGGAUCCAAGCGUUAUCCGGAAUCAUUGGGUUUAAAGGGUCCGUACGCGGUCUUGUAAGUCAGUGGUGAAAGCCCAUCGCUCAACGGUGGAACGGCCAUUGAUACUGCAGGACUUGAAUUAUUGGGAAGUAACUAGAAUAUGUAGUGUAGCGGUGAAAUGCUUAAAGAUUACAUGGAAUACCAAUUGCGAAGGCAGGUUACUACCAAUUUAUUGACGCUGAUGGACGAAAGCGUGGGUAGCGAACAGGAUUACAUACCCUGGUAGUCCACGCCGUAAACGAUGGAUACUACCUGUUGGGAGCAAUCUCAGUGGCUAAGCGAAAGUGAUAAGUAACCCACCUGGGGAGUACGAACGCAAGUUUGAAACUCAGAGGAAUUGACGGGGGCCCGCACAAGCGGUGGAGCAUGUGGUUUAAUUCGAUGAUACGCGAGGAACCUUACCAAGGCUUAAAUGCAGACUGACCGAUUUGGAAACAGAUCUUUC
rnacentral:rRNA from 1 species